rnacentral:sRNA from 1 species
AAUAUUUCGGUAGGUGAGGCUACCACAGGGAUACGGGACGCUGCCGCGAAAUGGUGGAGACACUGUCAGCUGGUCAACAGGCGAUGUCGAAUCAAGGCAUAACCUAAUGCUGUUCCAACGCAACCAUAUCUUUUAUGCCCUGCGAAGCUGAAGCUUGAACGGUA